AUUGAACGCUGGCGGCAGGCUUAACACAUGCAAGUCGAACGAGUGGCGGACGGGUGAGUAAUGUAUGGGGACCUGCCUGGUAGCGGGGGAUAACUACUGGAAACGGUAGCUAAUACCGCAUACUAUCGGAUGAACCCAUAUGGGAUUAGCUGGUAGGUAAGGUAAAGGCUCACCUAGGCGACGAUCCCUAGCUGGUCUGAGAGGAUGAUCAGCCACACUGGGACUGAGACACGGCCCAGACUCCUACGGGAGGCAGCAGUGGGGAAUAUUGGACAAUGGGGGCAAGCCUGAUGCAGCCAUGCCGCGUGUAUGAAGAAGGCCUUCGGGUUGUAAAGUACUUUCAGUAGGGAGGCGUUACCGACAGAAGAAGCACCGGCUAACUCCGUGCCAGCCGCCGCGGUAAUAC
rnacentral:rRNA from 1 species